rnacentral:lncRNA from 1 species
AUGGCUUCGCUGGAGCAGAUGGUGAGUAUGCUGAAGGGCAUAGGGCUGCAGGUGGAGUGCCCUGUGCAUAAGAAGGACCUCCUCCUGCUCUUCCGAUGGAAGAUGCGGGUGGAGAUCGGGGAGGACCCUUCUCAAUGGUUGAGUAGGGGCGCCCUGGAGCAGGUGGGUCAGGAGCUGUUUCAGCGUGCGUGCGCAGGGAACAAGGAAGCUCUGAGUUUCCUGCCCUCACUAGGCUCGCUCCAGAGCCUUUUCACAAAGGUGAAGCAAUGUCGGGAGGUUUGGCAAACGGCAGAUGUCCUGAUGCGGCCGGUGGAGGUGGAGGCAGGGGCAGCCAUAGAGGCGAGGGAGUGGGCUGAGUUGAUUGGGAAAAAACAGGGCGAAGAAAAACAGGAGGGCAAGGCUGGGGAAGAAACUGGGGAACAGCGAGCGACUAGUCUGCCACUGGCGGAGAAGGAAGAGAAGGCGGAGGAAAAGGGGAGCCCAGAGCCCUUGUGGGCGGCGCCGAUGAUGGGCCCCGGGGUGGUCCCAGCCGCGAUGUCGCGGUGGGGUCACGCAGGAGGGGCGGGUUGGGGCUAUGGAACUGCGGGUCCCGUGUGGUUCCCAGAGCAGGAGGAUCAGUUUUCUGGUGUGGCGAGGACUCCGCUAUUUACAGUUCCCCUGCUGUACUGGGAAGAGGGGUGGAACAGCGUGGGCGGAAAGGUGGAUUUGAAAAGUGCCAUUUUUGAUAUGUUGGCAAACGAAGAGGACGACGGGUCCAAGGCAGAAGGAGGGGGAGUGGCCGUGCGGCAGGAGCCCACAGACGGCUUGCUCAGUGAGGUGCGCCAACUGGCCGCACGGGUGGAGCAGCUUUUGGAGACGCAGGGAAAGGAGCAGCGUGGCACUGAGGUCGUGACGGAGCAGGACUUGGAGAGGGGGAGAUGGACUGUCCGGGCUGGAGAGUGUGUGCUGCAGGACUGCACGGUGAGGGCGGAGGACGGGCCGGGACGAUUGCUGUAUGCGGUCCUGGUGCAUGAUGGGGGUGUGGAUGGACAGCACAGGACGUGGCAGCCAAUAGAUUACAAGCUGCUCAUGCAUCUGGAAAAGGCAGUGGCUGAGGAAGGUGGAGUUCCAGGCUUCUGCUGCCUCGACUGGGAAAAGAAAGCUAUGACCGCAAUACAACGAGCAAAAGCAGCAGUGCAAAAGCUAUUGGACAGUACGCUCAAGGAUCGUAUCAGUACAUACUGGUGGGGCAGUUUGGGACAAAGUUGGAAUAAGACAUAA